rnacentral:lncRNA from 10 species
AGAAAAUGUUUCGAUAUGCUGACAAAUAACUAAGAACGCUGACAUAUUUGGGUCCAAACUGAAAGAAAGAAUGGGUUCUGCUGCUGCAGUUCAUCUCCAGCAAUAACACAGAACAAUGGUGCGCCGCAGUUCAUCUCUAGCAAUAACACAGAACAAUGGCGAGUACAAGCAAUGCUAACUCUGGAACAGAACUGGCAGUGAUCGGAUAAUCGGCUCUCUUCUCUGAAGCUAGAAUAUCAGGUCCUGUUGGUUGUCCCACAGAAAGCCAAUUAUUGAGAGAAUGAGUAUUGCCAGAGAAGAAGGCUUUAUUCGGGUGCUCCAGUUGAGAAGAUGGGAGAUUCUAGCAAUCCAGAAAACUGGCUCUCAGAAGCUUGUGUUCUAAUGAUAAGAGGCAGAAGUAAUGAGGAUUUUAAAAGUAUCACUACAACUUUCAUCAACCAGUCAUCAACAUUGAAACCGUAAGCAUUGCCCUCCGUUCCUGUUUCGUCAAUCUGUUUCCCUGGUAUGACUCUAAUGUAUGAGACCUCCAAGGUUCAACUGUUUGUGGAUGGGAAGAGAAAAAGCAGAUUUUUGUCUGCUCCCAGUGUUCUCUGAAAUAUGUGACAAGCCCUGCAGGAGAUAACAUUUUGGAUGCCAAACUCUCAUUACCACAUUAAUUGCCUCUGUCAUGACAGUUUGGGCCGGAGCAAAUGGCUGGGAACCUGCUGUGCUCCUCAAGAGAGCAACACAGGCCAAGGGAAAGUGGGUCUGAAGUUUCCCAAGCAGUCGGCUGAAAGGUGCUGUUAUCAGAGCAUAGUCUGGAUUUGUCUUUACGUCUUGAGUCACUGUUAAAUUGGUGGGGGAGUGGCUCUCAAAAAUCUUUGUUCCUAAAACUUAUGAAAGAUAUUCAUGUAAACAAGUAAAAAUCGGGUUAAAUUCUGUUUUAUCAGCAGGACAUUUUCACCAUAAGUGAUUGUCCAAUUGACUGUCAAAGCAACAAAAGGUGAAGGAGGUGAGUGUAUAGUCUAAAGAUAAAAGCUCCAAAUGGGCUUUCAGUGUCCCUUCAUCUCCAAGCUGAAUGAACAGGAUGUAAUCACAGCAGCGCAUGAGAGGGCAAUUUGAACAGAGUGGAUACUAAGUAACAUUUGAAGUCAAAGCAAAAUCAAAAGAAAAUUCUCUUAAUACUCCCUCCUCCCAAUAUAAUUAACGUUAAAGUAUUCUUUUUAAUUAACAUAAUUAGAGGCUUAAUUAUUGAAAGUCGGGUUAAAGAUGAAAAGUAUCAUAUAAUUAAAAUAAUUAUUUUUCUUUAACCUCCAAAGGAAAACAAAGCAGUUUUUCUCUCAUAGUCAUUUAAACUUCAGUAAUAUUUCUUAUAUAAAAGUAGUUAUAAGAUUUAAUACAGACAUUGGUAAAGGAGUGGGGUGAAUAGAGUUUGUGAAGACUCUUACUGUACACAACGAGAAGAUGUUUUUAAUCUCUCUUUGGUCACAAAGGAGUUCAAUAAUUUAGGUUUUAAUGAUAGUACUAUUGUCAUGCACAGAACAUGUCAAAAUAAAUUGGUACAAUCUUUUCAUAAAGAGAUUUAAAAAUAAAGGUUCUAAAAAAUUCAAAAUACAGAAUAAAAACUAUGAACAUACAUGCAUCACAGCCUUACUCGUAAUAUAGAAAUUCUGGUAAAAAAUAUUGCACAUUAUUGGAAUAAAGACUAUGCUACUGUAAUAACAAUGCCCUAAAUACAGCUUGGAUAAGAGAGAAGUUUAUUCAUGUCUUACACAAGAGUCUGGUUAAUAACUUAGACAAUUUUGUUCAUAAGAACAGAAAGUACUGUUCUUAAUAGACAGUUAUGUUCUAUAAGAUUCAGAAACUUAGGUUGUUUUAAUUUUCCUCCUCUGCUGCCUCCAUGUGUAAUUUCUCUCUCUAGAUAGUCAAAGCUGGGUCACUACCACCUCUGGCAUUCAGCCUGAGGAAAGAGGAAGGAGCAUGAGCAAAGAUUGCUUUUAAGAUGCAGGUUUGGGCUGGUCGCAGUGGCUCACACCUGUAAUCCCAGCACUUUGGGAGGCCAAGGUGGGUGGAUCACCUGAG